rnacentral:tRNA from 2 species
GGGCCCGUGGUCUAGUCGGUUAUGACGUCGCCCUUACACGGCGGAGGUCGCCGGUUCGAAUCCGGCCGGGCCCAC